rnacentral:tRNA from 1 species
GAGAGGAAAGCAUAUUUGUGUGAUUAACUUGAAAUUAAUAGGUGGCAGUUAAGUCUGUCUCUUCUCG